AUGAAUAUGCAUUCUCAUUCAAUGUCUUUCCAAUUCAGUCUAGGGUCGUGUACAGUGAUGUCCUGGACCUUCACAUUCACUGACCACUCACUGACUGACUCAUCUAGAGCAACUUCCAGUCCUGCAAGCUCCACUCAUGAGACAGGAUCUCACUGUGUUGCCCAGGCUGGUCUCAAACUCCUGGAUUCAAGUAAUUCUCCUGGCUCGGCCUGCCCAAAGUACUGGGAUUAUAGGUGUGAACCACCACACUUGGUCCAACUUUUUUUUUUUUUAAGGUGUGCAUUUGUCACUGUACUGUGAUGUGACUAAGACUGAGAUAUUGGUGCUCACGCUAACUCCCGUAAUAAUUUAGGUAUCUGUAGCUACUGGUGUGCUGGUAAAUGUUUAGCAACCAACUCUCCUUAGGAGGAAUUGGGGUUGGCAGCCAUGAUUUGUAGCAUUUGCCAAUUUCUGUGGUGUAACUAUUAUCAUUGUGGCUGAUUUCAAGCUAUCAAUUUAAUGUCACUGAAUACAGAGUAGGGAAGAGAUGUGUAGCAUUGGCUCAUGAAGCCAGCUUUAGCACACCCCUGUGAGCUUGUGUCACUGUCAUUCACAGUCUGUUUUGUUAGUUUGGCUUUCAGAUGCAUAUGUCUGAACUCUCCCCUAACACUCUAACAACCGGAGAAUGCAUGCCUGAUACUUUUGUUUCACCACAACACAUCCACCACAAUGCUUUAGAUGUUUUGACUUUUUAAAUGGCAACUUGUUAUUGAAGAAUAAUGUAUAUACAGAGAAGUGUACAAAUUAUCGGUGAAUUAGAAAUUGAAUUAUGACUGGGUUUUCAGAACUACAGUGUAGCCAGCCUCCAGAUCAGGAAACAGACAUUUAGCAGCUUCCCCGAAGCUCUUUUAUACCUCUUUCCUGUCACCUUCUGCUGUCUCAAGUCCUGAUGCCAUAGAUUUGUUUCACUUGUGUUUGAAACUUUAUAAAUGG
rnacentral:lncRNA from 1 species